CCCUUAGAUGUUCGGGGCCGCACGCGCGCUACACUGACGGAUUCAACGAGCUUACAACCUUGGCCGAAAGGUCUGGGUAAUCUCCAAAAUCCGUCGUGAUGGGGAUAGAUUAUUGCAAUUAUUAAUCUUCAACGAGGAAUGCCUAGUAAGCGCAAGUCAUCAGCUUGCGUUGAUUACGUCCCUGCCCUUUGUACACACCGCCCGUCGCUCCUACCGAUUGAAUGGUCCGGUGAAGCGUUUGGACUAUGGUUUUCUGAUGGUCCGCCGUUGGAUUACCGUGGGAAGUUCGUUAAACCUUAUCAUUUAGAGGAAGGAGAAGUCGUAACA
rnacentral:rRNA from 1 species